rnacentral:tRNA from 1 species
UGGAUAUUAGUUUAAUUUAAAACUUUUAAAUUGCAUUUAAAUAAUUAUUUAAUAAAAUAAAUAUAUCUAA